CCUGUUGUCUCCUGGAGAUUGGGGUGAAACUCCAUAUCCUUUCUCUGCGUGAUCUCAUUACAGUCAUCUCUCUAGGGGUGAAAACUUUUGAGCCCAUGUAAAUGGCUGACACGUGGCAGAGAGCUCCAUAGCUUAACUGGAUUUGCAGAUGCAUAAAGACCUAUCUUCCUUCUCCUGCUCUGAACCCACCUCCAGCUGACUCCCGCUGAUGUCCUGCAGCUCUCAGAACAUUGCAAGAGAUUUUCAUCACUAUAUCUAAAAGAACAUUUUGCAGAUGAGAGGAA
rnacentral:lncRNA from 1 species